UUAAGUUCAGCGGGUAUCCCUACCUGAUCCGAGGUCAAACUUUGGGGUGCGUCUUGAUGGACGCCCGUGCCAGAGGUUCGCGAGGCGCGCGUCUGCUGCGCUCGAAGCCAAUACACAGGCCGCCAAUGCUUUUGAGGCGAGUCCGCGCCGGGGCGGGACAAAGCGCCCAACACCAAGCAGUGCUUGAGGGGGUUAGAUGA
rnacentral:misc_RNA from 1 species